rnacentral:rRNA from 1 species
GACGAACGCUGGCGGCGUGCCUAACACAUGCAAGUCGAGCGAAUGAAGUUCCUUCGGGAACGGAUUUAGCGGCGGACGGGUGAGUAACACGUGGGCAACCUGCCUCAUAGAGGGGAAUAGCCUUCCGAAAGGAAGAUUAAUACCGCAUAAGAUUGUAGCUUCGCAUGAAGCAGCAAUUAAAGGAGCAAUCCGCUAUGAGAUGGGCCCGCGGCGCAUUAGCUAGUUGGUGAGGUAACGGCUCACCAAGGCGACGAUGCGUAGCCGACCUGAGAGGGUGAUCGGCCACAGUGGGACUGAGACACGGCCCAGACUCCUACGGGAGGCAGCAGUGGGGAAUAUUGCACAAUGGGGGAAACCCUGAUGCAGCAACGCCGCGUGAGUGAUGACGGUCUUCGGAUUGUAAAGCUCUGUCUUCAGGGACGAUAAUGACGGUACCUGAGGAGGAAGCCACGGCUAACUACGUGCCAGCCGCCGCGGUAAAAC